CUUUUGUUAGUUCUAAAAAUACUAGUGAAUAAGGGGUGGGCAAGUUCUGGUGUCAGCCGCCGCGGUAAAACCAGCACCUCAAGUGGUCAGGAGGAUUAUUGGGCCUAAAGCAUCCGUAGCCUGUUCUAUAAGUUUGCGGUUAAAUCUAUACGCUCAACGUAUAGGCUGCUGUAAAUACUGUAGAACUAGGGAGUGGGAGAGGUAGACGGUACUCGGUAGGAAGGGGUAAAAUCCUUUGAUCUAUUGAUGACCACCUGUGGCGAAGGCGGUCUACCAGAACACGUUCGACGGUGAGGGAUGAAAGCUGGGGGAGCAAACCGGAUUAGAUACCCGGGUAGUCCCAGCUGUAAACGAUGCAGACUCGAUGAUGCAAUGGCAUAGAGCUAUUGCAGUAUCGCAGGGAAGCCGUUAAGUCUGCCGCCUGGGAAGUACGUACGCAAGUAUGAAACUUAAAGGAA
rnacentral:rRNA from 1 species